GCCAGCAGCCAUAUCACUCUGCAACUCACAACUAGCAACCCACUGAAGCUAAGCAGGUGUGAGCCUGGUCAGUACCUGGAUGGGAGAUCUCCUGGGAAAAACUAAGGUUGCUGCUGGAA
rnacentral:rRNA from 1 species